AACUCGGCUUGCCCCAGUAGCGGCGAGUGCAGCGGCAGAGCUCAGAUUUGAAAUCGUGUUUCGGCACGAGUCUGUAGAGUGUAGGCGGGAGUCUCUGUGGAGCGCGGUGUCCAAGUCCCUCUGGAACAGGGUGCCUGAGAGGGUGAGAGCCCCGUAGGGUGCUGCGCGAAGCUUUUGAGGCCCUGCUGACGAGUCGAGUUGUUUGGGAAUGCAGCUCCAAGCGGGUGGUAAAUUCCAUCUAAGGCUAAAUAUUGGCGAGAGACCGAUAGCGAACAAGUACUGUGAAGGAAAGAUGAAAAGCACUUUGAAAAGAGAGUGAAACAGCACGUGAAAUUGUUGAAAGGGAAGGGUAUUGGGCUCGACAUGGGGGGUGCGCACCGCUGUCUCUUGUAGGCGGCGCUCUGGGCGCCCUCUGGGCCACCAUCGGUUCCUGCUGCGGGAGAAGGGGCUCCGGAAAGUGGCUCUUCGGAGUGUUAUAGCCGGGGCCAGAUGCCGCGUGUGGGGACCGAGGACUGCGGCUUCUGUCUCGGAUGCUGGCAUAACGGCGCAAUACCGCCCGUCUUGAAACAACGGACCAAAA
rnacentral:rRNA from 1 species